rnacentral:misc_RNA from 1 species
CAACCCUCAAGCCUAGCUUGGUGUUGGGAAUCUACGACUGUAGUUCCUUAAAUAUAGCGGCGGAGUUGCAGUAAUCUCUGAGCGUAGUAAUUUUUUCUCGCUUUGGUAGGUGCUGCGGUUUUUGCCGUUAAACCCCCAAUUUUUAAU